UACGAAGGGUGCAAGCGUUACUCGGAAUUACUGGGCGUAAAGCGCGCGUAGGCGGCUGGAUAAGUCGAUUGUGAAAGCCUUGGGCUCAACCUGAGAAUUGCAGUCGAGACUGUUCGGCUAGAGUGUGGGAGAGGGUGGUGGAAUUCCCGGUGUAGCGGUGAAAUGCGUAGAGAUCGGGAGGAAGGCCGGUGGCGAAGGCGGCGCUCUGGAACAUUUCUGACGCUGAGGCUCGAAAGCGUGGGGAGCAAACAGG
rnacentral:rRNA from 1 species